rnacentral:rRNA from 1 species
UACAGAGGUCUCAAGCGUUGUUCGGAUUCAUUGGGCGUAAAGGGUGCGUAGGCGGCGCGGUAAGUCGGAUGUGAAAUCUCGGAGCUUAACUCCGAAACUGCAUUCGAUACUGCCGUGCUUGAGGACUGGAGAAGAGACUGGAAUUUACGGUGUAGCGGUGAAAUGCGUAGAUAUCGUAAGGAAGACCAGUGGCGAAGGCGGGUCUCUGGACAGUUCCUGACGCUGAGGCACGAAGGCCAGGGGAGCAAACGGG